CCCGCUGAACUUAAGCAUAUCAAUAAGCGGAGGAAAAGAAACCAACAGGGAUUGCCUCAGUAACGGCGAGUGAAGUGGCGAACAGCUCAAAUUUGAAAUCUGGGCCCUUUCGGGGCUCGAGUUGUAAUUUGUAGAGGAUGUCUUCGGGUUUGGCCCUGGCCUAAGUUCCUUGGAACAGGACGUCACAGAGGGUGAGAAUCCCGUAUGUGGCUGGUGGUCUAUGCCCAUGUGAAGCUCCUUCGACGAGGCGAGUUGUUUGGGAAUGCAGCUCAAAAUGGGUGGUAAGUUUCAUCUAAAGCUAAAUACCGGCGGGAGACCGAUAGCGCACAAGUAGAGUGAUCGAAAGAUGAAAAGCACUCUGGAAAGAGAGUUAAAAAGUACGUGAAAUUGUUGAAAGGGAAGCGCUUGCGACCAGACUUGCCCUCGGUUGAUCAACCUGGUGUUCCUCACCGGUGCACUCUGCUGAGGUCAGGCCAGCAUCGGUUUGCGCCGUUGGAGAAAGGCCGUGGGAAUGUGACUUCCUUCGGGGAGUGUUAUAGCCCUCGGUGUCAUGCGACCAGCCUGGACUGAGGACCGCGCCUUUAGUGGCUGGGAUGCUGGCAUAAUGGUCGUAAGCGACCCGUCUUGACACACGG
rnacentral:rRNA from 1 species